rnacentral:lncRNA from 1 species
UGACGAAGGAGAUUUUUUUGGGUGAAAAUCUUCUUAACUUGUUGGAGCAAACCAAUCAUGUUUGUAAAUUCCUAAGUAAACGUCACCCGAGUAAUGCAUUUCUUUUUCUAAAUUUGAUUAGCAAAAUUCCUUACUUGUUUGAGGAUGUAUGUAUGAAUAUCAAUUAUGCCUCAAUUUGAUAUAGUAUCCAUUGCAACACUUGCCCCUAGGACAACACAAAAGCAUCCUAAAGUUUUUUACGAACUAGUGAAUUUUUUAGAAGCAGGAGGGAAUACCUUAUUCGUUACAAUUAUUAUUCAGCAUCAAGCUCGUAUUCUAAAGACGCCUUUCACAUGUUUCUGCUUAGAAACUAAAUAAAGUUGGGUCUACCAAGUGUAACAGCUAACAGGUCAUUAUAAAUUAUAUCUCAGAGUCAUUCUAGAGUGUUGACUAUUUUGGACUUUGCUCCAAAUAUUGGUUUUGAGAGGGACCUAUUUGCAAAAUGAUAUUUCAUUAUAUAAAAGGUACAUGUUACCUCUUUUCCCGUGGGAUGAAGGGCUUUGUUUUGUUUUUAGGUUGAAAGGGUUUUUCAGCCGCCGCCGCUCCCAUCUUCUUCCUCUCGUGCGCUCUCGGUCUCCUGGCAACAUCUGACUUGGUUUCCCUUCUGUCUUCACUCGCUGGAGGCUUUCUUCCUUCUUCCUUCUUCAACCGUGGCUUCUUCCUGUGGCUUCCCUGUUCCCGUGACGCCCCUUUCUUCUUUGCUGUUCA